AUUGAACGCUGGCGGUAUGCUUAAGACAUGCAAGUCGAACGGUAACAGACCUUCGGGUGCUGACGAGUGGCGGACGGGUGAGUAACACGUGGGAAUCUACCUUGUAGUGGGGGAUAAGCCAGGGAAACUUGGACUAAUACCGCAUACGCCCUAAGGGGGAAAGGAGCAAUUCGCUAUAAGAUGAGCCCGCGUCUGAUUAGCUAGUUGGUGAGGUAAAGGCUCACCAAGGCGACGAUCAGUAGCUGGUCUGAGAGGAUGACCAGCCACAUUGGGACUGAGACACGGCCCAGACUCCUACGGGAGGCAGCAGUCGGGAAUAUUGGACAAUGGGGGCAACCCUGAUCCAGCAAUACCGCGUGUGUGAAGAAGGCCUGCGGGUUGUAAAGCACUUUUAGUAGGGAAGAUAAUGACGUUACCUACAGAAAAAGCACCGGCUAACUCCGUGCCAGCAGCCGCGGU
rnacentral:rRNA from 1 species